CCGUGUUUAUAUCAUAUGGUUGCCAUGAGGAUUAAGUGACACAUUUCACUUAGUGUGUGAGAUACAUAUACAGGAGAUUAUUUAUAUAACCAGUCUCUAACAGUUCUAACAGAAACUGGUGCAUGGAAAUCCUUAAAAUGCCAUUUACCCAUUCAUUUUAAGGGACCUUUCCUCUUUGGUACUUAGACUCUUGAACGUUAAUAACAAGAAAGGAGAGACAAGCUAAAGAAAUGCAAUGCAAUUUUCCACAUCUUUUUUUUUUUUUCUUUUUUUGCUCUCUUUUAUUCUGGGAAAGAAGCAAUUGAAUGGGAACCAUGGAGAAUUAGUAUUGUUGAAGGAGUAAAAUAAAUCAAAAUGAACCUAUAAAAAUCAGGCUAAUCAGCACGGCUGACGUAAUAAACGGACAAGCUUUUCAGCUUGGUCGGAUGGGUUGACCUGAAAGUUGAAUUCACAUGGACAGAAAAUUGGGAGGAAGAUAAGAGGUCGCACUUGCAACACAUUCUAAGGGUGGAUUUGCCCAAUGACCAAUUUCCCCUGACUUGAGAACAACACGAGAAAAGAGGAACAGCUGAGAUGCCGGGUGCCGGGUGUUGGUGGCUUCCUCGAUUAUACAGGAAGGGUACUCGAUGCCUGGGCGCCGUGCUUCCUGGAGUAGAUGCUACCACAGGCAGAGCAGACGGGACCCCAAAACUCAGCAGGGCCAUCUAGACACAUGUUGUGCACCCUGGGGUUGUCCCCAAAUAGCCCAGCCAACCUCCUCCGCUUAAUACUAAAACACGUUUGGGAGAAUUGAGAAAUUGACCUUAGUUUUAAAAAGGGCCUGUUUAGGGGCACCUGGGUGGCUCAGUCGGUUAAGCGACCAACUCUUUGGUUGUUGGUAAUUAAGUUUUCUCGUCCCCUUUAUCAGUGGUUGGCAUUGGAAGGAACAUGUGAUCUCAUGGACCAUCCUGUUAGUGCCAGGGGAAUCCGCUGACACUAGGGAGGGGUGGGUGACAAAGGGGAAGCAGAGCCCUGGAUGGCAUCCUUGGGAGAAAUCUGAAGUGGGCCUGCCUUAGGAUACCCGCCUCUGACACCCAAUAAAUGUCUCUAUUAAUUCAAA